rnacentral:rRNA from 1 species
CCUGGCGGCCGUAGCGCGGUGGUCCCACCUGACCCCAUGCCGAACUCAGAAGUGAAACGCCGUAGCGCCGAUGGUAGUGUGGGGUCUCCCCAUGUGAGAGUAGGGAAC